rnacentral:rRNA from 1 species
CACCAGCGCCUCAAGUGGUAUCCACGAAUAUUGGGCCUAGAGCGUCCGUAGCUGGAUUGACAAGUCUAUUGUGAAAUAUUGGAGCUUAACUUCAAUGCGUGCAGUGGAUACUGUCAGCCUAGGGAACGGGGGAGGUUCGGGGUACUUUCAGGGUAGGGGUAAAAUCCGUUGAGCCUGAAAGGACCACCAGUGGCGAAGGCGCCGAACCAAAACGUAUCCGACAGUGAGGGACGAAAGCUGGGGGAGCGAACGGGAUUAGAUACCCCGGUAGUCCCAGCCGUAAAUCAUGCAGACUGUGGUGUAGCGUGUGAGUAAUCAUGCGCUGUGCUGUAGCGUAGGUGUUAAGUCUGCCGCCUGGGGAGUACGGUCGCAAGACUUAAACUUAAAGGAAUUGGCGGGGAGCACCACAAGCCGUGGAUGCUACGGUUU